UGGUGCUUUUGGUGCCGGACUAAUCUCCGGUGAAAAGGGAAUCAGGUGCGAAUCCUGAACAGACCCGCUGCUGUGAGUCCUGCCAAUGAGCAUGGCGUUAAUGCCACUGUGCCGCUUGAGGCAUGGGAAGGAGCCAUGAUCAGGGACAAGUCAGAAGACCUGCCAGAGGUUUUG
rnacentral:ncRNA from 1 species